rnacentral:lncRNA from 1 species
UCGGACUGCGCAACGCUGCGCUCUGGGCUGACAGGCGGAUAAAACGGUCCCAUCAAGACUGAGAAAAAGCACACCAGCUAUUGGCACAGCGUGGGCAGUGGGGCCUACAGGAUGACUGACUUAGUCUACAGAGAUCCCGGCGUACUUAAGCAGGUAGUAAUGAUGGACAGAUGAAGACUCUUAAGAUGACAGAAGGUGAUUUUUCUGGUGAUCGAGGACUUCCGGGGUAAUGACAGUGAUGAAAUGCAGGGGACCUGGUUGCCCCCAAGUUUCCUGGCAGUGUGUGAUACUGAGGAGGUGAGCUUGUUUCUGGAGCUGUGCUUUAAGAUUCAUGUUACAUGUAAAGCUGUCCUCAUUUGUGACUAUGGACCUAUGGAGUUGGGACAAUCUCUAUGGGAAGCAGAAGGCAAGGACCCCGGUCAUUUUAGGUAGAAACAACAGCAUGCUAAUGCAAAAAAUUAUGCAGUGUGCUACUGAACUUCAGAGGUGAUCAAUAAAAGAAGAAUAAAAAGACUAAUAAAAGU